rnacentral:tRNA from 1 species
UAUAGUUUAGUAUAUUUUUAGUAUUUAUUAUUGUCUUUAAUAUGGUUAAAACUUUAA